rnacentral:rRNA from 1 species
GACGAACGCUGGCGGCGUGCUUAACACAUGCAAGUCGAGCGGAGCGGCGAACGGGUGAGUAACGCGUUAGUAACUGCCCCCCUCUCUGGGAUAACAGUUGGAAACGGCUGCUAAUACCGGAUAGUGGGGGAUGACUCGCGUCCUAUCAGCUUGUUGGUGGGGUAGUGGCCUACCAAGGCGACGACGGGUAGCCGGCCUGAGAGGGCGACCGGCCACAUGGGGCUACGAGACGGACCAAAGUCCUACGGGAGGCAGCAGGGGGGAAUAUUGCACAAUGGGGGAAACCCUGAUGCAGCAACGCGCGGGGGGGAUGACGGCCUUCUGGUUGUAAACCGCUUUAAGCCAUGAAGCGGUAGUGGCAGAAGAAGCACCGGCUAACUACGUGCCAGCAGCCGCGGUAAUUC